rnacentral:rRNA from 1 species
AGAGUUUGAUCCUGGCUCAGGACGAACGCUGGCGGCGCGCCUAACACAUGCAAGUCGAACGAGCGAGAGAGAGCUUGCUUUCUCGAGCGAGUGGCGAACGGGUGAGUAACGCGUGAGGAACCUGCCUCAAAGAGGGGGACAACAGUUGGAAACGACUGCUAAUACCGCAUAAGCCCACAGCUCGGCAUCGAGCAGAGGGAAAAGGAGCAAUCCGCUUUGAGAUGGCCUCGCGUCCGAUUAGCUAGUUGGUGAGGUAACGGCCCACCAAGGCGACGAUCGGUAGCCGGACUGAGAGGUUGAACGGCCACAUUGGGACUGAGACACGGCCCAGACUCCUACGGGAGGCAGCAGUGGGGAAUAUUGCACAAUGGGGGAAACCCUGAUGCAGCGACGCCGCGUGGAGGAAGAAGGUCUUCGGAUUGUAAACUCCUGUUGUUGAGGAAGAUAAUGACGGUACUCAACAAGGAAGUGACGGCUAACUACGUGCCAGCAGCCGCGGUAAAACGUAGGUCACAAGCGUUGUCCGGAAUUACUGGGUGUAAAGGGAGCGCAGGCGGGAAGGCAAGUUGGAAGUGAAAUCCAUGGGCUCAACCCAUGAACUGCUUUCAAAACUGCUUUUCUUGAGUAGUGCAGAGGUAGGCGGAAUUCCCGGUGUAGCGGUGGAAUGCGUAGAUAUCGGGAGGAACACCAGUGGCGAAGGCGGCCUACUGGGCACCAACUGACGCUGAGGCUCGAAAGUGUGGGUAGCAAACAGGAUUAGAUACCCUGGUAGUCCACACUGUAAACGAUGAUUACUAGGUGUGGGAGGAUUGACCCCUUCAGUGCCGCAGUUAACACAAUAAGUAAUCCACCUGGGGAGUACGACCGCAAGGUUGAAACUCAAAGGAAUUGACGGGGGCCCGCACAAGCAGUGGAGUAUGUGGUUUAAUUCGACGCAACGCGAAGAACCUUACCAAGUCUUGACAUCCUGCGACGCACAUAGAAAUAUGUGUUUCCUUCGGGACGCAGAGACAGGUGGUGCAUGGUUGUCGUCAGCUCGUGUCGUGAGAUGUUGGGUUAAGUCCCGCAACGAGCGCAACCCUUAUGGUCAGUUACUACGCAAGAGGACUCUGGCCAGACUGCCGUUGACAAAACGGAGGAAGGUGGGGAUGACGUCAAAUCAUCAUGCCCUUUAUGACUUGGGCUACACACGUACUACAAUGGCGUUAAACAAAGAGAAGCAAGACCGCGAGGUGGAGCAAAACUCAGAAACAACGUCCCAGUUCGGACUGCAGGCUGCAACUCGCCUGCACGAAGUCGGAAUUGCUAGUAAUCGCAGAUCAGCAUGCUGCGGUGAAUACGUUCCCGGGCCUUGUACACACAGCCCGUCA